rnacentral:rRNA from 1 species
CACUUCUAGCAUAGCAAUUAUUAGAGGCACUGCCUGCCCAGUGACAUCUGUUAAACGGCCGCGGUAUCCUGACCGUGCAAAGGUAGCAUAAUCAUUUGUUCUCUAAAUAAGGACUUGUAUGAAUGGCCACACGAGGGUUUUACUGUCUCUUACUUCCAAUCAGUGAAAUUGACCCUCCCGUGAAGAGGCGGGAAUAUACAAAUAAGACGAGAAGACCCUAUGGAGCUUUAAUUAAUUAGCCCAAUAAAUAAAUAACUUACACUUCUAAGGAAAACAAGAAACCUUUUGAUGGGCUAACAAUUUAGGUUGGGGUGACCUCGGAAUACAAAACAACUUCCGAGAGACAAAAACUUAGACCAACAAGUCAACGGAUUCAGUCAUUUAUUGAUCCAAAAAAUUGAUCAACGGAACAAGUUACCCUAGGGAUAACAGCGCAAUCCUAUUUGAGAGUCCAUAUCGAUAAUAAGGGUUUACGACCUCGAUGUUGGAUCAGGACAUCCCAAUGGUGCAGCCGCUAUUAAUGGUUCGUUUGUUCAACGAUUAAAGUCCU